AGAGUUUGAUCCUGGCUCAGGAUGAACGCUGGCGGCGUGCCUAAUACAUGCAAGUCGAGCGAACGGACGAGAAGCUUGCUUCUCUGAUGUUAGCGGCGGACGGGUGAGUAACACGUGGAUAACCUACCUAUAAGACUGGGAUAACUUCGGGAAACCGGAGCUAAUACCGGAUAAUAUUUUGAACCGCAUGGUUCAAAAGUGAAAGACGGUCUUGCUGUCACUUAUAGAUGGAUCCGCGCUGCAUUAGCUAGUUGGUAAGGUAACGGCUUACCAAGGCAACGAUGCAUAGCCGACCUGAGAGGGUGAUCGGCCACACUGGAACUGAGACACGGUCCAGACUCCUACGGGAGGCAGCAGUAGGGAAUCUUCCGCAAUGGGCGAAAGCCUGACGGAGCAACGCCGCGUGAGUGAUGAAGGUCUUCGGAUCGUAAAACUCUGUUAUUAGGGAAGAACAUAUGUGUAAGUAACUGUGCACAUCUUGACGGUACCUAAUCAGAAAGCCACGGCUAACUACGUGCCAGCAGCCGCGGUAAUACGUAGGUGGCAAGCGUUAUCCGGAAUUAUUGGGCGUAAAGCGCGCGUAGGCGGUUUUUUAAGUCUGAUGUGAAAGCCCACGGCUCAACCGUGGAGGGUCAUUGGAAACUGGAAAACUUGAGUGCAGAAGAGGAAAGUGGAAUUCCAUGUGUAGCGGUGAAAUGCGCAGAGAUAUGGAGGAACACCAGUGGCGAAGGCGACUUUCUGGUCUGUAACUGACGCUGAUGUGCGAAAGCGUGGGGAUCAAACAGGAUUAGAUACCCUGGUAGUCCACGCCGUAAACGAUGAGUGCUAAGUGUUAGGGGGUUUCCGCCCCUUAGUGCUGCAGCUAACGCAUUAAGCACUCCGCCUGGGGAGUACGACCGCAAGGUUGAAACUCAAAGGAAUUGACGGGGACCCGCACAAGCGGUGGAGCAUGUGGUUUAAUUCGAAGCAACGCGAAGAACCUUACCAAAUCUUGACAUCCUUUGACAACUCUAGAGAUAGAGCNNNNNNNNNNNNNNNNNUUCCCCUUCGGGGGACAAAGUGACAGGUGGUGCAUGGUUGUCGUCAGCUCGUGUCGUGAGAUGUUGGGUUAAGUCCCGCAACGAGCGCAACCCUUAAGCUUAGUUGCCAUCAUUAAGUUGGGCACUCUAAGUUGACUGCCGGUGACAAACCGGAGGAAGGUGGGGAUGACGUCAAAUCAUCAUGCCCCUUAUGAUUUGGGCUACACACGUGCUACAAUGGACAAUACAAAGGGCAGCGAAACCGCGAGGUCAAGCAAAUCCCAUAAAGUUGUUCUCAGUUCGGAUUGUAGUCUGCAACUCGACUACAUGAAGCUGGAAUCGCUAGUAAUCGUAGAUCAGCAUGCUACGGUGAAUACGUUCCCGGGUCUUGUACACACCGCCCGUCACACCACGAGAGUUUGUAACACCCGAAGCCGGUGGAGUAACCUUUUAGGAGCUAGCCGUCGAAGGUGGGACAAAUGAUUGGGGUGAAGUCGUAACAAGGUAGCCGUAUCGGAAGGUGCGGCUGGAUCACCU
rnacentral:rRNA from 1 species